UACGUAGGGUCCGAGCGUUGUCCGGAAUUAUUGGGCGUAAAGAGCUCGUAGGCGGUUUGUUGCGUCGGCUGUGAAAUCCCGAGGCUCAACCUCGGGUCUGCAGUCGAUACGAGCAAACUAGAGUGUUGCAGGGGAGACUGGAAUUCCUGGUGUAGCGGUGAAAUGCGCAGAUAUCAGGAAGAACACCGGUGGCGAAGGCGGCCUGCUGGGCAGUAGCUGACGCUGAGGCGCGACAGCGUGGGGAGCAAACAGG
rnacentral:rRNA from 1 species